UACAGAGGUCUCGAGCGUUGUUCGGAUUCAUUGGGCGUAAAGGGUGCGUAGGUGGCGCUGUAAGUCGGGUGUGAAAUCCUGAGGCUUAACCUCGGAACUGCAUUCGAUACUGCGGCGCUUGAGGACUGGAGAGGAGACUGGAAUUCAUGGUGUAGCAGUGAAAUGCGUAGAGAUCGUAAGGAAGACCAGUGGCGAAGGCGGGUCUCUGGACAGUUCCUGACGCUGAGGCACGAAGGCCAGGGGAGCAAACGGG
rnacentral:rRNA from 1 species